UUCGGGGAAUGGAUUCAGGGGCGUGGUGGGGCAUGUAGGGUUUUCAUUUCCAUUGGAUGAUUGGAAGGGGCAGUUGUUGUCGGGGGGUUCCAUGCGGAAAUCGUUCAGGGACUCGUUGAAGCUCCUCGAGGCUGGCAUCGGGCACGCGAACACUUUGGCAUCAGAUUUUCCCACCGAAUAUGAUGGUGCAUGCCUUCAAAUGCGAAUGUCAUAUAGUCCAGCUGCACAUUUGUUUCUUUUUCUUGUUCAGUGGACAGAUUGCAGCCUUGCUGGGGCUCUUGGACUCAUUAGAAUUAUGAUAUAUAAGGUUCAUAUUGAUGGAACAACAACCAUGUCAACUCUUGAAAGAAAAGCUAGUAUUAAAGAGUUUUAUGUUGCUAUUUUCCCCUCUUUGCUCCAACUACAGAAAGGGAUCACCAACAUGGAAGACAAAAAACAAAAGGUGGUAUGCAUGGAAAGAUAUAGACGAAGGGAUGAGGAUGAAAGGAAGCAGCUCUCUGAGAUAGAUGUUGAAAGAGAGGAAGAAUGUGGGAUUUGCAUGGAGAUGAACAACAAAAUCAUAUUGCCCAGGUGCAGCCAUGCUAUGUGUAUAAAAUGCUACAGAGAAUGGAACUCAAGAUCACAGUCAUGCCCCUUCUGUCGUGAUAGCCUCAGGAGAGUAAACUCUGGUGAUUUAUGGGUGUUUGUCAAUAGUAGAGAUGUCGUUGACAUGACUGGUGACACGUGAAGACAUCAGGCGCUUAAUCAUGUACAUAAAGAAGUUGCCCGAAGUUGUUCCAGAGACCGUCUUCAAUGCUUGUGAUUCUCAUGAUAGGUGACCCAUGUGUCCACGCCAUCUGGUCGACUUCCAUCAAUUUCUUAUUCUAGUUUCUAUCUGCUCAAGUAGCUUGAUUUUAUCUAUGGUUUGGAGAUGAUUCCAGUUUAAGUGGAAAAUCUGCUCUUCUUUUUCAAGCAGCUAAUUGACUUGCAAGCUACACCCGCUGAGCAUCUUCAGCACUAUGUAAAUUCUUGUACAGUUGGUAAGAUUAUA